rnacentral:lncRNA from 1 species
CCUGCAACCACCACACAGAUCGUGGGAAUGUUUCCAGCUCCCCAGAAGCCACUGCGUCCCGGGGCCCCUCCCAGGCCCGGUCUCCUCCAGCCCCACCAAAGGCGCCCCAGGCCCCGGCUUCUCCAUCCAGUGGAGGGGACUUGAAGCCCAAGGAGACGCAGCAUCGACAGGAAACCUCCCUCCUCUCCAGUCUCCAGGUCAAAAUGAGUGAGCUCCGGGAAACAGGAGCUCAGCUGCCACACCCCAGGGAGGGGUGGGACGUGGGGGACGUGACCCAUGACCUCACCUCUCCUGGCUCCAGGCAGCAGCCCUGCCCACCGCUGGAGAAUUCCAUGACUCAGGAUGACUGGCGUCAUAGAAGAGCAGGUGAGGACACAGACGUGCAGGGAGGAAAGACCACGUGAGCACACAGAGAGAAGGCGGCUGUCUGAAGGCCAAGCAGCGAGGCCUCAGGAGAAACCAAC